GAUGGACGCUGGCGGCGUGCCUAAUACAUGCAAGUCGAGCGAAUGGAUUAAGAGCUUGCUCUUAUGAAGUUAGCGGCGGACGGGUGAGUAACACGUGGGUAACCUGCCCAUAAGACUGGGAUAACUCCGGGAAACCGGGGCUAAUACCGGCUAACAUUUUGAACCGCAUGGUUCGAAAUUGAACGGCGGCUUCGGCUGUCACUUAUGGAUGGACCCGCGUCGCAUUAGCUAGUUGGUGAGGUAACGGCUCACCAAGGCAACGAUGCGUAGCCGACCUGAGAGGGUGAUCGGCCACACUGGGACUGAGACACGGCCCAGACUCCUACGGGAGGCAGCAGUAGGGAAUCUUCCGCAAUGGACGAAAGUCUGACGGAGCAACGCCGCGUGAGUGAUGAAGGUUUUCGGGUCGUAAAACUCUGUUGUUAGGGAAGAACAAGUGCUAGUUGAAUAAGCUGACACCUUGACGGUACCUAACCAGAAAGCCACGGCUAACUACGUGCCAGCAGCCGCCGCAG
rnacentral:rRNA from 1 species